rfam:Peptococcaceae bacterium BRH_c23 BRHa_1002812, whole genome shotgun sequence.
GGAUUCCCACUGAGUAAGAUUUAGCAAAUCACUCAUAGCGAGUCUUGGACAUUACCGGGUAACUUGUAAUGUUAAGCGUAGACAGCAAGGUAGUAGGCCGAAAGCGUAAGCUGAAGGGAUUGAGCCUCGAUAUCCCAAAUCGGGAAGGUUGAUACUUUUACCAGGGUAGAAAACAACACUAAUAUAGUCGUUAUGCGAGAAUAUAUUAGCUUCCCCGGGGUCGGUGACCU